rnacentral:rRNA from 1 species
AUGAACGCUGGCGGCGUGCUUAACACAUGCAAGUCGAACGAUUAAGACGGCUUCGGCCGUGUAUAGAGUGGCGAACGGGUGAGUAACACGUGACCAACCUGCCCCGCGCUCCGGGACAACCGCUGGAAACGGCGGCUAAUACCGGAUGCUCCGGGGAGGCCCCAUGGCCUCCCCGGGAAAGCCUUGACGGCGCGGGAUGGGGUCGCGGCCCAUUAGGUAGACGGCGGGGUAACGGCCCACCGUGCCCGCGAUGGGUAGCCGGACUGAGAGGUCGACCGGCCACAUUGGGACUGAGAUACGGCCCAGACUCCUACGGGAGGCAGCAGUGGGGAAUUUUGCGCAAUGGGGGGAACCCUGACGCAGCAACGCCGCGUGCGGGACGAAGGCCUUCGGGUUGUAAACCGCUUUCAGCAGGGAAGACAUAGACGGUACCUGCAGAAGAAGCUCCGGCUAACUACGUGCCAGCAGCCGCGGUAAUACGUAGGGGGCGAGCGUUAUCCGGAUUCAUUGGGCGUAAAGCGCGCGUAGGCGGCCGCCUAAGCGGAACCUCUAAUCCCGGGGCUCAACCUCGGGCCGGGUUCCGGACUGGGCGGCUCGAGUGCGGUAGAGGCAGGCGGAAUUCCCGGUGUAGCGGUGGAAUGCGCAGAUAUCGGGAAGAACACCGAUGGCGAAGGCAGCCUGCUGGGCCGCCACUGACGCUGAGGCGCGAAAGCUGGGGGAGCGAACAGGAUUAGAUACCCUGGUAGUCCCAGCCGUAAACGAUGGACGCUAGGUGUGGGGGGACCAUCCCCCCGUGCCGCAGCCAACGCAUUAAGCGUCCCGCCUGGGGAGUACGGCCGCAAGGCUAAAACUCAAAGGAAUUGACGGGGGCCCGCACAAGCAGCGGAGCAUGUGGCUUAAUUCGAAGCAACGCGAAGAACCUUACCAGGUCUUGACAUCCUUUGACCACUCUAGAGAUAGAGCUUCCCCUUCGGGGGCAAAGUGACAGGUGGUGCAUGGUUGUCGUCAGCUCGUGUCGUGAGAUGUUGGGUUAAGUCCCGCAACGAGCGCAACCCCCGUCCCGUGUUGCCAGCAUUGAGUUGGGGACUCGCGGGAGACUGCCGGCGUCAAGCCGGAGGAAGGUGGGGACGACGUCAAGUCAUCAUGCCCCUUAUGCCCUGGGCUGCACACGUGCUACAAUGGCCGGUACAGAGGGUUGCCACCCCGCGAGGGGGAGCGGAUCCCGGAAAGCCGGUCCCAGUUCGGAUCGCAGGCUGCAACCCGCCUGCGUGAAGUCGGAGUUGCUAGUAAUCGCGGAUCAGCAUGCCGCGGUGAAUACGUUCCCGGGCCUUGUACACACCGCCCGUCACACCACCCGAGUCGUCUGCACCCGAAGCCGCCGGCCGAACCCUUCUGGGGCGGAGGCGUCGAAGGUGUGGAGGGUAAGGGGGGUG